rnacentral:lncRNA from 1 species
GUGUCCCCAGGGCACUUUGUUCUGUGGAGCGGGUAUGGGGCGGGAGGUUGGGACGAGUUGGGAACACCGCAGGUUUCGUGGUGGUGAAGUCUGCAGUGGGAGCAGAGCUCCUGAAGGAGUUGCUUCAGUGGCCUGGGACUGCUGGGAAGGUCCUCUAUAGUGGCAGAGGAAAGCAGGGAAGGGGAGAAGAGCCCCACUAAGAGUAACAGAAGUGAUCUCCAUGUUGUGAUGAAGGACUGUAAUUCAUCUCCUCCAUGCAUUUAUAAGUUGCUCAUUUCUUCAACGUUAUUUUUUGUCUAAUCAAUGCAGUGAAAAGCAGAGCUCUGAAACAUUGACUGUAUCUGUUGUGGAAACAGUGAUUCAAGGGCAGCAAAGGGAAAACUGGACAUCACUGAAGAAGACAGAUGAGAUAUUUAGGUCUGGAAUAAAAAAUGCAUGUUUUGGAUAUAACAGUAAUGCUUUCACCAACUGCUUUCCCCUCCCUCAUGAAUUUAGGCAAGUCAAUGACGUCUAUGCUUGCUUAAUUAUAAAGCUUCAUUAUUUCCUAUACCACGAAGUCUGCUUUUUGUUUUUAUAGAGGCUUGGCAUAAUCUUUUUUUAUAAAUGCCAAGAACAAUUCCAGUUAGCUUGUGGGUAAUAGUGAUCAAUUGUAGCAGAAAGAAGUCUGAAGUCACAUAGCUUUGACUUGUGCAUAGCUCUGCUGAGUCGUCUGAUGCCUCUUUCCUGAUGAGCAACAAUCUACCAAACUGUCUCUAACUGACCAUGAGGAGAACAUCCAAUUAUCCUGCACCAUCAGAGGUAUGAUGUAUGCGUGUGUAUAUAUAAACCACAUUUUGUAGUCUGGAGACACAGAGGGCAUAUAUCAUCAGACUAUUUUUUACCCUUUUCAGUACUGGCUGGCAUUUUCUGAAUGGAAAGUUUAAAAUGCACAUUCUUCCAAGCAGGACAACC